rnacentral:rRNA from 1 species
GAUGAACGCUGGCGGCGUGCCUAAUACAUGCAAGUCGAGCGAACAGACGAGGAGCUUACUCCUCUGACGUUAGCGGCGGACGGGUGAGUAACACGUGGAUAACCUACCUAUAAGACUGGGAUAACUUCGGGAAACCGGAGCUAAUACCGGUUAACAUGUUGAACCGCAUGGUUCAACAGUGAAAGACGGUCUUGCUGUCACUUAUAGAUGGAUCCGCGUCGCAUUAGCUAGUUGGUAAGGUAACGGCUUACCAAGGCAACGAUGCGUAGCCGACCUGAGAGGGUGAUCGGCCACACUGGAACUGAGACACGGUCCAGACUCCUACGGGAGGCAGCAGUAGGGAAUCUUCCGCAAUGGGCGAAAGCCUGACGGAGCAACGCCGCGUGAGUGAAGAAGGUCUUCGGAUCGUAAAACUCUGUUAUUAGGGAAGAACAAAUGUGUAAGUAACUAUGCACGUCUUGACGGUACCUAAUCAGAAAGCCACGGCUAACUACGUG